rnacentral:misc_RNA from 1 species
UGUGUUUAUUUUGUUGAUUUUUUGGGUUUCACGAGACGACGUUGUCUUGAAUCGAAUUGAAUUCGCUCUUAUCUUAAUGUUUUAUUAAAUAAUGUUCCUGGUCGUAAAAUUAUUGUGCAUAUUGCUGAUCUAAAUUUAUAAAUGAAAAUGGCUGUGUAUAGAAGAGUGUUGACACGCAUGCUACGUCUCCGUAACUUACUGGUCCUGGCAUUAUUACUCUUUAUCCUGUACAUGCUCAGGUCCAGAAAUGCCCUGGAGCAUCCAGAAAUGCUGGUUUCACAAAUGAUUCACACUAAAGUAUUCAAAAAUGAAAAAGUCUGUGUUCCAAACAGUUCAAAGAAAAUUGACUGGCAUAACUACACUCAAAUAAAUCAUGAACGCAGCCGUAAAGGUAUAGGCGAGCAAGGCCGCCCAGCUUAUUUGUCGGGAGAGGAUGCCGAUUUGGAGAAACGGCUGUACCAAGUGAACGGCUUCAACGGCGCGCUCAGCGACAAGAUACCUCUGAACCGCUCCUUGCCUGACAUCAGGCACCGCGGCUGCGCCAGUAAGCUGUACAUCGAGUGUUUGCCGACGGUGAGCGUGGUGGUUCCCUUUCACAACGAGCAUUGGAGCACGUUGUUGCGGACGGCUUACUCGGUACUCUACAGGUCGCCUGCGCACCUCAUAAAGGAGAUCUUUCUUGUCGACGAUGCUAGUAAUAAAAAUUUCCUACAUAAAAAACUAGACGACUACAUAGAGAAGAAUAUGCCUAAAGUGAAAGUAUUAAGGCUGAAAUCGCGGAGUGGGUUGAUAACGGCGCGACUGGCCGGCGCUGAAAAGGCUACUGGAGACGUUUUGAUAUUCCUGGACUCUCAUACUGAGGCUAACGUGAAUUGGCUUCCGCCUUUGUUAGAGCCGAUAGCGUUAAACUAUCGAACGGUUGUGUGCCCGUUCAUAGACGUGAUAGCUUACGACACGUUGGAGUACCGCGCCCAGGACGAGGGAGCCCGGGGCGCGUUCGACUGGCAGUUCUUCUACAAGCGGUUGCCGGUAUUGCCCAGGGAUGAGGAGAACAUGCCGGAGCCUUUCGAGAGCCCUGUAAUGGCGGGAGGGUUAUUCGCGAUAUCGCGCGCCUUCUUCAACGAGUUGGGGGGGUACGACCCUGGGCUGGAUAUUUGGGGGGGAGAGCAGUACGAACUUAGCUUUAAGAUAUGGCAGUGCGGCGGUCGGAUGUUGGACGCGCCGUGUUCCCGCGUUGGACACAUUUACCGCAAAUUCGCGCCGUUCCCCAACCCCAACCAUGGGGAUUUCGUUGGCAAGAACUAUCGUCGAGUAGCCGAGGUAUGGAUGGACGAAUACGCCCAGUAUUUGUACAAUCGCCGGCCUCACUACCUGUCUAUACCCACCGGUGACCUCACGGAACGAAAAGCUUUGAGGAAGCGGCUGAAUUGCAAGCCUUUCAAGUGGUUCAUGACUCAGGUAGCGUUUGAUCUCACAUUCAAGUAUCCUUUGGUUGAGCCGAAGCCCUACGCGGAAGGAAAAGUUAAACCUCUAUGGAAUAAUAAUUUAUGCAUUGACGCGAACCACGGAGGUCAGUCGGAGGCUAUUCGGCUGAAAGACUGCAGUCAGGGCGCUGAGACUGAAUUCAUCUUCUCUUGGCACAAGGAUAUCAGAGUAAAAGACCGCGGUAUGUGCUGGGACCUUCCCGAUUCCAGGUCGAAGAGUAGCAUCCUCCUGUACAGCUGUCACCUCUCCGGAGGGAACCAGCUGUGGCAGUACCAUCUGGUAACUCCGCACUGAUGUUAUACAUGACUCGGAGAUAGUGUCUUGUGCUGGAACCUUCCAGAAUCCCAGCACAAGAGUAGCAUCCUCCUGUACAGCUGUCACCUCUCCGGAGGGAACCAGCUGUGGCAGUACCAUCUGGUAACUCCGCACUGAUGUUAUACAUGACUCGGAGAUAGUGUCUUGUGCUGGAACCUUCCAGAAUCCCAGCACAAGAGUAGCAUCCUCCUGUACAGCUGUCACCUCUCCGGAGGGAACCAGCUGUGGCAGUACCAUCUGGUAACUCCGCACUGAUGUUAUACAUGACUCGGAGAUAGUGUCUUGUGCUGGAACCUUCCAGAAUCCCAGCACAAGAGUAGCAUCCUCCUGUACAGCUGUCACCUCUCCGGAGGGAACCAGCUGUGGCAGUACCAUCUGGUAACUCCGCACUGAUGUUAUACAUGACUCGGAGAUAGUGUCUUGUGCUGGAACCUUCCAGAAUCCCAGCACAAGAGUAGCAUCCUCCUGUACAGCUGUCACCUCUCCGGAGGGAACCAGCUGUGGCAGUACCAUCUGGACACGAAACAGAUAAGCCACGGUACACACGACAGCUGCGUGGACCACGAUCCGGUCAAG